AGAGACUUAGGAUAACCUUCAGACCAAGAGCCUUCAAAGCCCUAAGUAGGAGUUAAAAUCUCCUAGUCUCUG
rnacentral:tRNA from 1 species